rnacentral:rRNA from 1 species
CCCAGACUCCUACGGGAGGCAGCAGUGAGGAAUAUUGGUCAAUGGCCGAGAGGCUGAACCAGCCAAGUCGCGUGAGGGAAGACGGCCCUACGGGUUGUAAACCUCUUUUGUCGGGGAGCAAAGCGAGCCACGUGUGGUUCAUUGAGAGUACCCGAAGAAAAAGCAUCGGCUAACUCCGUGCCAGCAGCCGCGGUAAUACGGAGGAUGCGAGCGUUAUCCGGAUUUAUUGGGUUUAAAGGGUGCGCAGGCGGAGGUGCAGGUCAGUGGUCAAAUUGCGGGGCUCAACCUCUUCGAGCCGUUGAAACUGGUUUUCUUGAGUGAGCGAGAAGUAUGCGGAAUGCGUGGUGUAGCGGUGAAAUGCAUAGAUAUCACGCAGAACUCCGAUUGCGAAGGCAGCAUACCGGCGCUCAACUGACGCUCAUGCACGAAAGUGUGGGUAUCGAACAGGAUUAGAUACCCCGGUA